CAAUAGCGUAUAUUUAAGUUGUUGCAGUUAAAAAGCUCGUAGUUGGAUUUCGGGUGUGAACGACCGGUCCGUCUUUGAUGUGUACUGGUUGGUUGCGCCUUAUUGUCGAGGACGUGGUUCUAGCUUUCAUUAGCCGGGACACGGAGUCGGCAGCGUUACUUUGAGAAAAUUAGAGUGUUCAAAGCAGGCAUCGCCGUUGAAUACAUUAGCAUGGAAUAAUAAGAUAAGACUUUGGUGGUCUAUUUUGUUGGUUUGCACGCCAAAGUAAUGAUUAAUAGGGAUAGUUGGGGGUAUUCGUAUUCUAUUGCUAGAGGUGAAAUUCUUAAAUUUAUGGAAGACGAACUACUGCGAAAGCAUUUACCAAGGAUGUUUUCAUUAA
rnacentral:rRNA from 1 species